rnacentral:rRNA from 1 species
CACGUAGUUAGCCGGCGCUUCUUAUCCAGCUACCAUCAACCCACCCACCAGGGGCAGGCCUGCUUCACUGGCGAAAGAGGUUCACAACCCGAAGGCCUCCAUCCCUCACGCGGCGUCGCUGCAUCAGGCUUGCGCCCAUUGUGCAAUAUUCCCCACUGCUGCCUCCCGUAGGAGUCUGGGCCGUGUCUCAGUCCCAGUGUGACCGUCCACCCUCUCAGGCCGGCUACCCGUCACCGCCUUGGUAGGCCAUCACCCCACCAACAAGCUGAUAGGCCGCGAGCCCAUCCCCCACCAAAAACACCCAAAGGCGCAUCUUUCCCACACCCACCAUGCAGCAGGCGCAGAAUAUCCCGUAUUAGCCACACUUUCAUGCGGUUAUCCAGAAGAAGGGGCAGGUUACUCACGUGUUACUCACCCGUUCGCCACUCAUCCACACCCCCAAAAAGGAGGACGCUUCACCGUUCGACUUGCAUGUGUUAAGCACGCCGCCAGCGUCGUCCUCG